rnacentral:lncRNA from 1 species
GCCCAAGCCACAUUUAGUCUCUGCUAACUUGAAAUUCUUCAUAAUUUUUGAAUAAGAGGCUCCAAUUUUCAUUUUGCAUGGAGACCCGAAAGUUAUGUGGCUUGUCCUGGUUACAAGAAUAAUGAGGAGAAAAGCCAAGGGGAGGGGGAAUAGGGGCAAAUAGGAGUGGAGUUGAAAAAACGGAAUGUUUAAGGCAGAAGAUCAUAUAUUUUAGGGUACUUUGCAGACAGCAAGAGAGGAGAGUGAGAGAGAAAUGACGAUGGUUCUUCAUCAUAAAGAAAAAAUAAAAGACUAGUUGUGUCAUGUGGCCUCCAAGAUACUUGGAGUAAAAGAUGGGUUGGUUCCAGGUAAAUCUUAGCUCCAGGUGCUGCAUGGACAGCUUCAGUGUUUGCAUUGUCUGGAGUUAAAAUAAACAUGAGUUUGCCUGCAUGGUCAUCUCCAUUUUCAGCAGAAGUCAAUUAGGAAAUGAUUUUCUUCAAACCAUAUUGACUUUUUUUUUUUCAGAAAGAUUUGAUUCCUAAAUGACAGGGUGACUAAAGAUCAAAUCAUUUUUCCAUUACAUUUAAUGCGGGAGGUUUCCAUUUUUUAGGCCUCCCUGCAGAAGAGUUUCAAUUGCAUUUCCGUUUGUUCUCCAAAGGCAGUUUUACAGUUCUCUGAUUUACGCUAAGGUCAAGAGAAGGUUUGCAAGCUGCCACAGAACAUAAAUUACAGAACCUCCUGACAAAAUGGUGGGUCAGAAAAGUAACGUGGAAUACAUUAGUGAAGGGUAGAUUAACAUGCCUUUAAGUGCUAAUUUAUUUCUCAAAUGUGCAGCUUGAAGUCUUUCUCUCCUAUCACUAGGCUCAAGGCUGAGUGUCUUCCAUAUUGAUCAGGAGCCUCUGCAGCAGGCACACGCAGGACGCUGUGCUGUGCUGUGCAUGGUGAGAAGUGUGACUCACUGCUGGUGAGAAUUAUUCAGCAGACAAAAUGAACUGGGAGGAAGUGAGUGAUCUUUACCUCUUAGGUGAAAGGAUGCAAUUAUCAAGGAAACCAAUGCACAGAGCACAAAGCACCAAUCAUGUAUUUGGCUCUCCUUGGUGUGUUUCGUGGUGCAUGGUGAGGGGUGCACAGAUCUCCAGGGUUUGCAGUCCUGCUGGGAGAGGAGAGUCACAGACAGGGCAGAAGAAAAUGGAAAACAAAGACAAACAAACCAAAGAAGGAGGAUGA